GGGUCAGUGGGUUGGUCGUGCCACCGGUACGUACUGGUCUCACUGAUUCCUCCUUCCUGAAGAACCGUAAUGCCAUUAAUUUGGUGUUGCGGGGAAACAGGACUGUUACUUUGAAAAAAUUAGAGUGUUUAAAGCAAGCUAACGCUUGAAUACAUAGCAUGGAAUAAUGAAAUAGGACGAUCGAUCCUAUUUUGUUGGUUUCUAGGAUUGACGUA
rnacentral:rRNA from 1 species